rnacentral:tRNA from 1 species
AGCCCCGUAGUGAGUGACACGUCAAAUUGCAAANUUGAAUCGCCCAUANUUUGGUGCCGGGGCUC